rnacentral:piRNA from 1 species
AGCUUUGUCAUGGUGAGCUACUUCUCGC